AUUGAACGCUGGCGGCAGGCCUAACACAUGCAAGUCGAACGAGUGGCGGACGGGUGAGUAAUGUCUGGGAAACUGCCCGAUGGAGGGGGAUAACUACGGGAAACGGUAGCUAAUACCGCAUACCAUCGGAUGUGCCCAGAUGGGAUUAGCUUGUAGGUGAGGUAACGGCUCACCUAGGCGACGAUCCCUAGCUGGUCUGAGAGGAUGACCAGCAACACUGGAACUGUGCCACGGUCCAGACUCCUACGGGAGGCAUGAGGUGGUAAUAUGGGAAAAUGGGAGCAAGCGUGAGGCAGCCAGGCGGAGGGUAUGAAGAAGGCCUUCGGGUUGUAAAGUACUUUCAGCGGGGAGGCGUGACCAGCAGCAGAAGCACCGGCUAACUCCGUGCCAGCAGCCGCGGUAAUUC
rnacentral:rRNA from 1 species